rnacentral:rRNA from 1 species
GCUUGGGAAUUUGCCUUUAGGUGGGGACGAACAGUUGGAACGACUGCUAAUACCGCAUAUUGUCUACGGACUAAAGAGGGCUUCGGCUCUCGCCUUUAGAGAAGCCCAAGUGGGAUUAGAUAGUUGGUGGGGUAAUGGCUCACCAAGUCAGCGAUCCCUAGCUGGUCUGAGAGGAUGAUCAGCCACACUGGAACUGAGACACGGUCCAGACUCCUACGGGAGGCAGCAGUGGGGAAUAUUGCACAAUGGGGGAAACCCUGAUGCAGCCAUGCCGCGUGUGUGAAGAAGGCCUUCGGUUGU